rnacentral:lncRNA from 1 species
UGCACUGGGUAUUCCAUCUAAAAAUAAAUAAGGACUGGUUCUCUCUGCUUCUCUUCAGCAUCUUUAUGUGGAGUGCAAAUGAAGUCAUGACUGUUGUGCCAACAGGUGCUUUUGGUGGCUGUGAUUUCAUCGGCAGUCCCACAGCCUGGGACCGUGGCAGAAAACCAAUCUUUCUUCCUGUAUUGCUUGAAGCUGAUGUAGAUUCAACCUUGAUCAUCAACACCUGUCUUAAAUUGCAGGAAUCUCUUUGUGGAGGAGGAGGAAACAGGUUUUAUCACUGGUUUAUUGCCUUAGCUUCCCGAACUUGGGAGUGAGCUGUUUCACAGCUGUUGGCUUCUGGCAAUGGGAAACAUGCACAAAUCCAUGGCUCAAAAAAAAUCUGUUGAUCAAAAAAAAAAAAAAAGCAUGUUGAUAUGGGCUUCACCGUCCCUUGCUUUAGGGGUGAAGAUCACAUGAAGAACUGAGGCAAUUCUGCUUUUUUGUGUGCUUAGCCUCUGCACAUGUUUGAGGCUGAGUGAGCGAAUGGCAGACCCGUACAGCUCUGAUUGAUCACUGUAUCAAACCAUUGAACCUCAGGGGUGGAUACAGGUGCAUAACAGGAGACUGGAAAACCACGGACAGACCUGAGCCCAGCACAGGAAGAGAAAAGACAGAUGCAGAGGAUUGGCAAGAGGUCACGUUUUCCAGGCUUGUAAUGGAAAGCUGGAAGAAACAGAAAAGAAGUCGGAUAUUGGGAAACGUGUGAUGAGGGGACAAGCUCAGCUUGGUUCCUGAAAUAUAAAUCUUCUGGGCCAUGGGAUAUUCAGCGUUACAGCCUCAGCUGAUCCUUCUGUGCAGUCAUCAGUCAGACCAUGCAGCACAGUGAUAGAGUGAGCCUGAAUAAUACUCUUGCACAAUGUCUGCCAUGCUCCGUAAUGUCCUCAAAGGAAUUGUGCUUACAAUCUGAACUUGUUUAUAUUCUUUCCGUUGCCCAGGAAAAUGGAUAAUUCCUUUUCCCAUCG